rnacentral:tRNA from 1 species
UCCCUGAUGGUCCAGUGGCUAAGAACUGCACACUUCCUAUGCAGAGGGCCUGGGUUCAAUCCCUGGUCAGGGAA